AUAAAGAAGUGGUAUGAUCACAAGGUGGUUUUCCAUUGAACUGAAAGUGUACUGAUUCCUAUGAUUUCCCCAAAUGUGGGAAACUUGACUGCAUAGCUUCUGUCAGCUGGGGACAGCAUUUGCACUCCCCCUAG
ensembl:snRNA U1 U1 spliceosomal RNA